rnacentral:lncRNA from 1 species
UGAUACAGUAACGCCUGGAUUGCACCGUGUUAUUCUAGCCAGCAGCUCUUGGGUUCCCUGCGCCCUUAGGGACACAAUUAAGGCCCCAGUCUUUAGGCAAAGGUAACUAUGGUAGCCAAACAUUAGCUGUUACUGUCAGUGGAGAAAAGCCUGGUCAAGAACUAAUGAGCCAUCAGCAUCAGCCCCCGUUAUCCCGCCCAGAGGGCAUUGGCGUGAUCAGCCCGGGCGCCAGGGACACAGGCUCGCUCGCGUUCAGCUUAGCUCGGUACCAAAGCGUUAGCCAGCCAAAUCCUCCGGGGUGGGGUGGGGGAAAGACGUUCUCAUUAUCCCGCUCGGCGCUGUGGCGGAGGCAGCUGGCCUGGCUGUCCAUUAAUAGAUUACACGGAGGAUUUGAGAUUGUUAACAGGGAAGAGCGCUUUAGCUGGAUCCAUGCUGGUAAAAGGCCACUGAGGCGCGCCCCACAGCGGAGGACGCAUCCUUUAGGAGGGACCUGUACUUCUCCCCCUCCCGGUUACACAUUUUCGGACAAGCCCAGGUUGCUUCCCCAUUAA